CCUACGGGAGGCAGCAGUGGGGAAUAUUGCACAAUGGGGGAAACCCUGAUGCAGCGACGCCGCGUGAGUGAAGAAGUAUUUCGGUACGUAAAGCUCUAUCAGCAGGGAAGAAAAUGACGGUACCUGACUAAGAAGCCCCGGCUAACUACGUGCCAGCAGCCGCGGUAAUACGUAGGGGGCAAGCGUUAUCCGGAUUUACUGGGUGUAAAGGGAGCGUAGACGGUGGCGCAAGUCUGGAGUGAAAUGCCAUGGCUUAACCAUGGAACUGCUUUGGAAACUGUGCAGCUAGAGUGCAGGAGAGGUAAGCGGAAUUCCUAGUGUAGCGGUGAAAUGCGUAGAUAUUAGGAGGAACACCAGUGGCGAAGGCGGCUUACUGGACUGUAACUGACGUUGAGGCUCGAAAGCGUGGGGAGCAAACAGGAUUAGAUACCCCUGUAGUC
rnacentral:rRNA from 1 species